rnacentral:rRNA from 1 species
CCGGCGCACGGGUGAGUAACGCGUAUGUAAUCUACCUGUAAUAGAGGGAUAACCCGGAGAAAUCCGGACUAAUACCUCAUAGCGCAUAUUAUUCGCAUGAAUUUUAUGCUAAAGAGACUCGGUUACAGAUGAACAUGCGUUCCAUUAGCUAGUUGGCGGGGUUACGGCCCACCAAGGCAACGAUGGAUAGGGGUUCUGAGAGGAAGGUCCCCCACACUGGUACUGAGACACGGACCAG